rnacentral:rRNA from 1 species
UACGGGGGGAGCAAGCGUUGUUCGGAUUUACUGGGCGUAAAGGGCGCGUAGGCGGUCGUGACAAGUCACUUGUGAAAUCUCCGGGCUUAACUCGGAACGGUCAAGUGAUACUGUCGGACUAGAGUACAGAAGGGGCAACUGGAAUUCUUGGUGUAGCGGUGAAAUGCGUAGAUAUCAAGAGGAACACCUGCGGCGAAGGCGGGUUGCUGGGCCGACACUGACGCUGAGGCGCGAAAGCUAGGGGAGCGAACGGG